UUUUAUAUAUAGACUAGCGCUUGACUGCGAUCUCACCUGAUGGCAAGUGAAGAUGCAGCCUAAGGUGGUGCGCGCUUGCCUAGAAGAUGCCUAUUCACUCUUGAUUUAAAGAUACCCAAGUUAUAGUUCGUUGGAAAAACGGAAGCCGGAAGGGCAUUCCAAAUUUUUGCGGUGCGUAUUAGGAACAAGGAAGCAAAUCGUUUAGUGCGAGAUCGUGGGAUUUCAACCACAUAGCGGUGCAGAUUCAUGCGAUGCCUUGCGGUUCGGUGGUAGAAAGGUGAUGGUGGAACCAAAUUGUAUAGUUCUAGAGCACACUCUCCGAAAUAUAAUCUGUAAAAUACCGACAAACAGGCAACCUUGCGCCGGUGUUCGAGACUUUGAAGUCUAGAGCGAACCAGCGAUUUGUCACCGAUGAGUCUUCUGGCGCGUCGAUCCACAGA
rnacentral:misc_RNA from 1 species